AUAGGGAGGUGUACACACCGUGAUGGGCAAAGGUAGAAAUAGGGAGGUGUACACACCGUGAUGGGCAAAGGUAGAAAUAGGGAGGUGUACACACCGUGAUGGGCAAAGGUAGAAAUAGGGAGGUGUACACACCGUGAUGGGCAAAGGUAGAAAUAGGGAGGUGUACACACCGUGAUGGGCAAAGGUAGAAAUAGGGAGGUGUACACACCGUGAUGGGCAAAGGUAGAAAUAGGGAGGUGUACACACCGUGAUGGGCG
rnacentral:lncRNA from 1 species